GCUCACCGGUCCUCCCAGCACAUCCAUGUAUGACGCAGAUGAGCACAGGUUAACUUGAAAUUAUGGUUACUUUGGUGACUAACAAUGCAAUAGAAUAUUUUUUUGGUCCCUUCUGCGAUACCCUUACUCUUUCAUACCCUCCCUCUUUCAUACCCUCCCUCUUUCAUGCCCUCCCUCUUUCAUGCCCUCCCUCUUUCAUACCCUCCCUCUUUCAUACCCUCCCUCUUUCAUACCCUCCCUCUUUCAUACCCUCCCUCUUUCAUACCCUCCCUCUUUCAUGCCCUUACUCCACCUCACUCGGUGCUUGGUUCAGACAUUUACCUUAUCACCAGUUUUCUCUAUUCUACUUCCUCCUUGCAAAUUCCAAAUACUUCGAUUCCGGAGAGGGAGCCUGAGAAACGGCUACCACAUCCAAGGAAGGCAGCAGGCGCGCAAAAUACCCAAUCCCAAUACGGGGAGGUAGUGACAAUAAAUAACGAUACAGGGCCUUUGGUCUUGUAAUUGGAAUGAGUACAUUUUAAAGACCUUAACAUGGAACAAUUGGAGGGCAAGUCUGGUGCCAGCAGCCGCGGUAAUUCCAGCUCCAAGAGCGUAUAUUAAAGUUGUUGCAGUUAAAAAGCUCGUAGUUGAAGUUUGGUGGUAACUAUUUAUUUAGUUACUGCCACCAGCCUUUGGCUGGUGUUACUUUGAGUAAAUGAAAGUGUUUAAAGCAGGCAACGCCUGAAUCUUCUAGCACGGAAUAACAGAAUUCGACGAAUUUAUUUUGUUGGUUCUAGAAAUCGUAAUGAUUAAUAGGGACGGUCGGGGACAUCAGUAUUCAAUAGUCAGAGGUGAAANGACGAUUUUAUUUUGUUGGUUCUAGAAAUCGUAAUGAUUAAUAGGGACGGUCGGGGACAUCAGUAUUCAAUAGUCAGAGGUGAAAUUCUUAGAUUUAUCGAAGACUAACUACUGCGAAAGCAUUUGUCAAGGACGUUUUCACUAAUCAAGAACGAAAGUUAGGGGCUCCAAGAUGAUCAGAUACCGUCGUAGUCUUAACCAUAAACUAUGCCGACUAGGGAUCGAGUGUUGAUCAAUAUUUUGACGCACUCGGCACCUUACGAGAAAUCAAAGUUUUUGGGUUCUGGGGGGAGUAUGGUCGCAAGGCUGAAACUUAAAGGAAUUGACGGAAGGGCACCACCAGAAGUGGAACCUGCGGCUUAAUUUGAAUCAACACGGGAAAUAUCACCAGGUCCAGACACAAUAAGGAUUGACCGAUUGAGAGCUCUUUCUUGAUUUUGUGGGUGGAGGUGCAUGGCCGUUCUUAGUUGGUGGAGUGAUUUGUCGGCUUAAUUGCGAUAACGAACGAGACCUUAACCUUUAAAUAGGGUCUUUAGCUUUUGCUGAAGGAACUUCUUAAAGGGGUUAUUGAUUAAAAAUCAAUUGAAGUUUGAGGCAAUAACAGGUCUGUGAUGCCCUUAGACGCGCUACACUGACAACGAGUUGACCCUAGCCGGGAGGUUUGGGAAAUCUGGAAACUCCGUCGUGAUGGGGAUAAAGCAUUGAAAUUAUUGCUUUCCUUAUCCGUCUAUAUUACAGUCCGUCUGUCUAUAUAACGGCUUCGGGUCU
rnacentral:rRNA from 1 species